rfam:Streptomyces sp. IB2014 011-1 STIB_2, whole genome shotgun sequence.
CACCGAGUCCGAGGCCCCUGGGAAUCACCGGGGGCUGGUGCAAAAGGGA